rnacentral:tRNA from 1 species
AACGGGGUAGCGUCGUCAUGAUCCAUGGCGGGCUGUAAAUCCGUCGGCUUAGCCUACCCAGGUUCGAAUCCUGGACCCGCCAC